GUCGUGACUGCGUGCCUUUUGAAGAAUGAGCCUGCGAGUUUGCGGUGUGUUGCGAGGUUAACCCGUGUGGGGAAGCCGUAGCGAAAGCGAGUCCGAACAGGGCGAUGUAGUAGCGCGCUCAAGACCCGAAGCGGAGUGAUCUAGCCAUGGGCAGGUUGAAGCGCGGGUAAGACCGUGUGGAGGACCGAACCCACCAGGGUUGAAAACCUGGGGGAUGACCUGUGG
rnacentral:rRNA from 1 species